rnacentral:rRNA from 1 species
UACGAAGGGGGCUAGCGUUGUUCGGAAUUAUUGGGCGUAAAGCGCACGUAGGCGGAUAUUUAAGUCGGGGGUGAAAUCCCGGGGCUCAACCCCGGAACUGCCUUCGAUACUGGGUAUCUUGAGUUCGGAAGAGGUGAGUGGAAUUGCGAGUGUAGAGGUGAAAUUCGUAGAUAUUCGCAGGAACACCAGUGGCGAAGGCGGCUCACUGGUCCGAUACUGACGCUGAGGUGCGAAAGCGUGGGGAGCAAACAGGG